UAUUUGUCCCAACAAUUUCAUCUGUUCUCUUCUAAAAUUUCUGUUUGCGUACCAUUUUCCACCUCGAAAACCCAAGCCAUACCUGAAUCAAAGGCACAAAAAGCAGAUCAAAGGGCAUGCCGCAUGUGUACCAAAUCAGUUGAAAGCAAACAUGAGGGGAUGGUGGUGGAUAUUGGAGAACAAGUGGUUUGGCCAAUAGAGGUAGGAGAACAAACUAGAUACAGGUGAAUGGAGAAGUACCAGUUGUGGGGUGACAACAAACAUGAUCACAACGGAGUCAAGAAACAAAGGAAGUGAUCGGCGGAAAAAAAUUGAGAGUCUUGAAGUAAAAUCUUUGAUAUUUGUAAUCAUCAGAUUACUUUGGCCAGGCCAGCCCCCACUUUAUCCUUCUGCAUGCCCAACCAUUGGCGUUCCUAUAAGAAGCAUUGAGUGACUUGCGGCUUUCUAGGAGGCGGGUUGCCUAAGGCUGCUAGGAAGGUGAGUAUACAAUGUAUAGAAAAUUGAGUGUUUGUCAUAGCAUCCUUCUGUAAAAUUUUCUACUUUUUGGUACACUCCUUGUAUGCAUGUAUCUUUGACCUUCAUUCAUAAAAUAUUAUUGCUUUAUCA